AAAAGGAUAGCUGGGUCAAAUGGUGGAUCCAUUCCCAGAUUUCCAAGGAAUCUCCAUACUGCUUUCCAAAUUGGCUGCACCAAUUUGCAGUCCCACCAGCAAU
rnacentral:pre_miRNA from 1 species